GCGUAACGCGUUGGUGACCUGCCCCGAAGUGUGGAAUAACAGUUCGAAAGGACUGCUAAUACCGCAUGUGAUCGUCGGUUUUAGAAUCUGAUGAUUAAAGGAGAAAUCGCUUCGGGAGGGACCUGCGUCCCAUCAGCUAGUUGGUAGGGUAAUGGCCUACCAAGGCUAUGACGGGUAGGCGGUGUGAGAGCACGACCGCCAACGAUGGGACUGAAACACGGCCCAUACUCCUACGGGAGGCAGCAGUCGAGAAUAUUGGACAAUGAGGGAAACCUUGAUCCAGCGACGUCGCGUGCUCGAAGAAGCCCUUCGGGGCGUAAAGAGCUUUUCUGAGGGAAGAAUCUUCGGAUGACAGUACCUCAGGAAUAAGAGGGGGCAAACUCUGUGCCAGCAGCAGCGGUAAUACAGAGCCCUCAAGCGUUAUCCGGAUUUAUUGGGCGUAAAGUGUCUGUAGGUGGUCAGCAAAGUUUUCUGUUAAAGCUCCAGAGCUUAACUUUGGAAAUGCAGAAAAUACUGGCUGACUAGAGGGCGUUAGAGGUUGGCGGAACGGUCGGUGUAGGGGUGAAAUCCGUUGAUAUCGACCGGAACCCUAAAUGCGAAGGCAGCCAACUGGGGCGACCCUGACACUGAAAGACGAAAGCGUGGGGAGCGACAAGGAUUAGAUACCCUUUUAGUCCACGCCCUAAACAAUGGAUACUGGCUAUUUGAAGUGUCGACCCUUCAAGUGGCGAAGCUUACGCGUUAAGUAUCCCGCCUGGGAAGUACGGUCGCAAGACUAAAACUCAAAGGAAUAGACGGGGAUUUACACAAGCGGUGGACCAUGUGGCUCAAUUCGACGACAAACGAGGAACCUUACCAGGGUUUGAAAUUCCGCUAAAACUUCGAUGAAAGUCGGAGGUCUCACAAGGGUAGCGGAACAGGUGCUGCAUGGUUGUCGUCAGCUCGUACUUUGAAGCGUACGCUUAAGUGCGACAACGAGCGCAACCCUUAUUCCGCGUUUUAAUUGUCGCGGAAAACUGCCUGGGAUAACCAGGAGGAAGGCGAGGAUGACGCCAAAUCAGCACGGCCCUUUGAUACCUGGCCGCACACGUGGUACAAUGGAGCCGACAGUGGGUCGCGAAGCCGCAAGGCGGAGCUAAUCCCAGCCAAACGGCCCCUCAAUUCGGAUUGAGGUCU
rnacentral:rRNA from 1 species